rnacentral:rRNA from 1 species
UAGGGAAUAUUGGACAAUGGGUGAAAGCCUGAUCCAGCCAUGCCGCGUGCAGGAAGAAAGCCUUCUGGGUUGUAAACUGCUUUUAACAGGGGAUAAAAAUUCCAUGCGUGGAAGAUUGAAGGUACCAGGUGAAUAAGCCACGGCUAACUACGUGCCAGCAGCCGCGGUAAUACGUAGGUGGCAAGCGUUGUCCGGAUUUAUUGGGUUUAAAGGGUGCGUAGGCGGUUCCAUAAGUCAGUGGUGAAAUACGGCAGCUCAACUGUCGAGGUGCCAUUGAUACUGCGGAACUUGAGUACUGAUGAGGUAGGCGGAAUGGACGGUGUAGCGGUGAAAUGCUUAGAGAUCGUCCAGAACACCGAUAGCGAAGGCAGCUUACUAAGGAGUAACUGACGCUGAGGCACGAAAGUGUGGGGAUCAAACAGGAUUAGAUACCCCCGUAGUCC